AAUGAAUUGCCUGAAAAAAAGGGUUAUCUUGAUAGGAUAAAUCAUGUAAUUUAAUUACAUUCAUUA
rnacentral:tRNA from 1 species